rnacentral:rRNA from 1 species
UACGUAGGGGGCAAGCGUUGUUCGGAAUCACUGGGCGUAAAGGGAGUCUAGGCGGUUUGGUAAGUGGGAUGUGAAAUGCCCGGGCUCACCCCGGGACCUGCAUCCCAAACUGCUGAGCUUGAGUACAGGAGAGGGUGGGGGAAUUCCAGGUGUAGCGGUGAAAUGCGUAGAUAUCUGGAGGAACACCUGAGGUGAAGACGGGUUGCUGGGCCGACACUGACGCUGAGUGCGCGAAAGCCAGGGGAGCAAACGGG